rnacentral:lncRNA from 1 species
GUCUGAGUUUCAACUGAAAAUAAUAUGUUUCCAACUUUAUCUCCUGUUAUUGUAAUUGUGAAUCCAUCAUAUUCUUUCCCUUGAUCCUUGAGGCUGGGGACUUUUGUGUUCACAGUAAACCCAUCUCUUGUCUUACUAUUAAACUUCAUUAUUGGAAGAAGAUCUUCUACUUUAUGUACUUUUUCCAAAGCUUCGCGAACCUCCAUUAGUCCUUUUGGAUUAUUAGCACCAUGAUAAACAAGGAUCCUAUCCUUGAUAAAAUGAAGAAUUUUCUCAAAGUACUCCAAGUACCGCAUGUUAAUCACCUGUCCCCUGAUUAAAUUAAUGUGGUUAUUGAAACCUCUGCUAAGGCUUCGUGCAGGCAUUUGGUCCAACCAAAGCACAGGUUGGUCGGGGUCUGCUAUCCUUCGCCACUUCACAGCAAUAUCAAAC